CUCACUAUAAAUGUAAAUUACAAGACUUGUCUUGGAGCGUAACUCCCCGUCACCUCCUCAAAAUCAUUGUAUCUCUCAAUGUGUAGUCUUUGUUCUUCUAGCCUUAAGCGGGUCUUGGAUCUUAGGUCUUAGGUCUUGGGUCUUUCCUCUUCCUCACGGUGCGAAGACGACUAACUCCCCGUUAGCUCGUCUAGGACUUGGGUCUUAGAACGAAGAUCACCUCACUUCACUUCACCUCACUGCAAAAUCUAGAAAACAAUAUCUACGAAAGACAACCUUGGUUAUAAAAAGAGUUUUGGACAAGAUUCACUAGUCCGAGUGUUUCAAUAAUAUUCUUGGUCUUAGAAUAUUAAAGAUUAAGUGUCCUUUAAGCUUUUAUAAAGCUUAAGACCUUGCAAGUAUUCUUUUUCGAUAGAUUUAUAUUUAUAAUCGAAGAAUACGUUUAUCGUACAAAAUCCUCCAAAUAAGUAAUAUUCGAGUGUCUUGGAGUUUGUAGAUAAAAUAAAGUCCUUUUAAGCUCUUUUGGCUUUAUGGACUAAUAUACUUGUCUUUGAAUAAGUAUAUGAAAUACUUCGGGUAUGAUAACCUUCGAAGUAAUAUUACAAAGCGUUUUAUUUUACAAUUUCGUUGCAAGAUAACUCCUGUUUAAAUAUAAAAAUCGCUUUGCACGAGAGAGUGAGUUCUUGACUAUCUUUAACAAUUGCACAAUGAUAUAGAGUUUUGGGCCACUAAGAUUUUGCGAUUAUAACACCGCUAUAAUAUAUAUAUAGUUGAUUUUAGAAAUACCGAGCGAAUCUCACGUGGGACAAGCUACGGGUAUUUUGUGGUGUGUGAACAAAGUGUUGGUGAUAUAUAUAGAUAUACGUAUAAAUCAACUCACUAAGGUGAGGACCACCACCAAACUCGUUUAAGCAAAUAUUCUCACGAAAGCUCAGCACGUAUGAGAAUCUUCACGUCAACAAGAUAGGGUAUAACACACACACGCACAUGUAGGUAUACUAUAGAUAAUACGAGCGGCCAACUCUUGUGCUUUGUAUUGUUAAAGAGAAAGAGAGCUUUGAGAUGAAGAGAAUUUUGGCUUGAUAGCUCUGUUAAAGUCGGUCGGUUAAGACUCGGAUAAGACGAAGCUAAAGAAACCACUUACACGAUUUUCGUAAAAAGUUCGCCGGAAAAAUUCGCCGGAGGUUCGGUAGGAAUUUGGCUUAUGGACGAACUUCGGACAGCCCUUCGGGAGGUCGGAAAGAGCGGUUUGGGUGCAAGCAAAGUGGUACGGGGCUUGGUUGGGGGGAGCAAAGCCUCGGUGUUUAAAACCUCGAGAAUAUACGAAUAUACCGAGCGGGACGGAGGUUUUAAAGAUGAAGUAGAUGAAAAAUGUGUUUAUAUAAAUUUGGAGAGAGCUUCUACUUGCAAAAUCUCAGCACUUUCUUGCUU
rnacentral:lncRNA from 1 species